rnacentral:misc_RNA from 1 species
AUGGUGUGUAUGGCCAGUGAAAGCAGCGUGCCCUGCAUAAUUACCGACCUCAGCAACAAGGCCAAAAAAAAGAUAGAGAAGAUAAAAAAAGAAAUAAUGCUAUAUCCAUCGAUGAAAGUCGCUGAUAUUUUUCAGCACGUUGUAAUGCAGUAUUCGUAUCUACCAGAUGACUUUUUCUUAAUAAUGAGGGGUACCGAAAAAGGACCGGUGGAAUUGGAUGAAGUAAAGGACAAAACACUACAAGAUAUUGGAGUAGAUUUUUCUGGCAAUACGAGCUAUGGAAUGUUCAUCAUGGAUGUUUUGGGAACUGCAUUGCCUACAUCUAGACCUGCGGUAACAGGCCCAGAAGCUGAAGAUGAUCUUAUGUUGGGCACUUCGGCAAGUCCUACUUCAUUGCAUCAAACUCACUAUGACUGCCCUCUAGCUGAUGUAGACACGAUGGACGAAUCCGGGGAUUUCAAAUUCCUUCAGAGAAGUGUCAGUAAACGUGAAACGAAUUACGUGGGCCUGGUUAAUCAAGCUAUGACGUGCUACCUAAAUAGUUUACUGCAAACAUUGUACAUGACUCCAGAAUUCAGAAAUGCUCUAUACAACUGGGAGUACGUUGAAAGUUCAGAAAAGGACGAAGCUAAGAGCAUGCCUUACCAAAUGCAGAAGUUAUUCCUGAAUUUGCAAACAUCGACAAAGUCAGCUAUCGAAACAACGUCAUUGACGAAAAGCUUUGGCUGGGACUCUACCGAAGCAUGGCAGCAACACGACAUUCAAGAACUGUGUCGGGUGAUGUUCGAUGCAUUAGAGCAAAAAUUUAAGAACACAGAACAAGCGGAUCUCAUCAACAGGCUGUACGAAGGGAAGAUGAUAGACUACGUAAAAUGUUUGGAGUGUGGUACUGAAAAAUCUAGGGAGGAUACUUUCCUUGACAUCCCUCUACCACUAAGGCCUUUUGGUAGCUCCGUAGCUUACAACAGUGUGGAGGAAGCCCUCAGAGCGUUUGUUCAACCAGAAACUCUCGACGGUAAUAAUCAGUACUUCUGCGAGAAAUGCAACAAAAAAUGUGACGCCCACAAGGGCUUGAAAUUCACCAAGUUCCCUUAUCUAUUGACUCUCCACCUGAAGCGUUUCGACUUCGACUACAAUACCUUCCACAGAAUCAAACUCAACGACAAGGUGACAUUUCCUGAUAUCCUGAAUUUAAACUCCUUCAUCACAUCAUCGACGAGCCUGGAGUCACCUGGAGGUGACGAAGACAUGGGCUUAGGCGUUAAAUGCGACGAUAGUUCAACCACCGAUAGUGGAACCUUAGACGACGAAUGUCCUCCUUGUGAAAAUAGCAUGUCUAACGGCAAUCACUCGAUUGGUCACGAUCAGGACGACGAUGAAGGAAUAGACAUGAGCAAUGGUGGUCCGUCCACGUCUACCUGCACCACUCACAGUUACGAAAGUGAAAAGAAUCGUGGAAAUCGCUCCGGCGGACAGGGUCCCUAUAAUUACGAGCUCUUCUCGAUCAUGAUACACAGCGGCAGCGCUAGUGGAGGUCAUUACUAUGCUUACAUUAAAGACUUCAAGACUCAAGAGUGGCUGUGCUUUAACGAUCAGAGCGUUACUUGGAUCACUCACGACGACAUUCAGAAGACUUAUGGAGGCGGGCCUGUAAGGGCGUAUUACAGCGGUGCUUAUAGCAGCAGCACCAACGCGUACAUGUUGAUGUAUCGGCAAAUCGAUCAGUGUCGUAACGCCCUGCCGAUGCAGGCAAAAGACUUCCCGAAACAUAUUCAAGAACUCCUAAAGAAGAUGAAGGACAACGAGGAGUACGACCGGAGGAAUCGAGAGAAGCAUACGACGAUGUACAAAAUGAACGUCUAUUGUCGUCACCCGCGAGAUGGUAAAAUGGUAGACGUCAAGUUCCACGUGUGGACCCACACGUGGGCUGCGGCCACGGAGAAGGCCUACAAGAAACUCGACCUGGAGGAUGUAGUCAGCCUGGACCGUUGCAGACUGGUCGCUUAUAAUCACGCCAACGAUCUGAUAGAGUGUAGUCUGGACGGUAUGGAGGACUUCAUGGUCGACGAGAUCUGCGGCAACCACUUCCGCUCCGAAUAUCUCCUCGAGAUCAGGAAGAAGGACGAGAAGUUCGAAAAGUACACGCUGGGCGGAGUCGCGACCAAGGUGUUCGUCGUGGACGUCGCCAAGAAGGAAGUGGUCGACGAGGCGAUCAGCGUGCGUGGCUUCUUCCUGCAAACGGUGAGGGAGUACAAGGAACAGGUCGGCAAGGUCGUCAACAUGGAUCCGAAGCAGAUGAAGAUGGUGCUGCUGAGAUGCUCGAGCUACCAGGCGGUGCUAAUCGACAAGGACGACAACACCCUGGAGGACGAGCACAUUCAGAAUCGCGACAAGGUGUUCGUUGCCACGGCUUUCGACGUCGAUCCCACGAAGCCCUUCCUCGAGUCGACACUUCACAAUAUUGCCAUAAACUUUAACUACGUGAUAUCGGUGCAUGUCGUUCUACCGGACACAAGUGAGGAAACCUUGAAAGACCUGAACAUACCACCGCUGGAGACGAACGAGGAGGAGGAGAGGGACAAGGAAAAGGAACCGGAUAACGAGAACGAAAAGAAGAAGGACAAGGAGCCGGAAAGCGAGGUGUUGGCCAAUUGCGGCCCCACUAAAAUAACCAUCACCGUGCCACCUAGCGCAAUCGUUAAGGCCACUUUACCUACGAAAGACGCGAAGAGUGCCGAGGAAACAGUCCCGAGGAAUCCCAGCCCACAACCCGUGGAUAACGAGGAGUGGAGGGAAUGGAUGGGACCGGAACAAAGCAACAGCGAGGACAGCAGUCUCAGCGAUAGCGACAGGACUCUUGUGGGAGAUGCUCCGGACACCGAGAAUCCUCACACAAUGGCGCUGACCCCUGAAACCAUCUUCUACAGUCCGGAGGCCUCUCAGCCCGAGGUUUUCUAUUUCAAGGCCAUCCCGUACACGGAUAACGGCCAAAAGCUGCUGAGGGUACUGGUCGACAAGAGGAUGCAGCUGAACACGUUGAAGAAGUGCCUGGAACCGUUCGUCGGGGUCUCGUCCAAGUACUUCAAGGUCUACUUUCAGUCGAACGAGUAUGACGGGUGGGAGUGCGACCACUUUAAUAGCUGCAUAGCCUUCUGCGAGGACGCGGAAAGGAUCCUCCUGAAGCUCGGCAAGCCGCUGCGAAACGGAGACUUCAAAGUCGAUAUCUACCAAUUGUUCGUCGACAGACUCGAGCCGUUCAAAUUCCUUUACGAAUGGAUCGGCUCGAAGGAAACGACCGGGGCUCAGGCGAAGAAGGAAAUCCUGGCCGAUCUGAAGAAACAGUUCAACAUAGAUAUACCUUACGAGAGGUGUCGACUGAGAAAGAAGAAGAACAAGACGAUGUCGCAGGUCUUCCUGGCCGAUCAGAAGCUCGAGGACCUGAUGAACCUCACGUAUCCGCCGAGCGACUUGGUCGUGCAGGAACUACCCGACGUGGACACCGUCACCAGCCCCGAACAGAUAGUCAUGUUCGUGCGGAGGUGGUCGUACUGGAAGACGCAGCUUGGCCCGUACCAGGAGAUCGUCCUGGAAGAGAAGUCCAUAGAGAGUCUGAAGGAGGCGAUGUCCGCGAUAACGGAUAUACCGCCCCAGUACCUCGAGAUCGCGAAGGCGAAGAGGUCAUUGCCCUGCAUAAUCGCUACGAGGAAGAUACACGAGGCCCUCCCGUGGUAUCUACAGAGCACGGUGAAGAAACUGUGGCUCAUGCACCUGGAGAACGGUUACGUCCUGUUUUACAGGGAUUCCAGGGAAGAGCCGAAGCCAAUCAGCGUCGACGACCUGACGGAGAUCGGCAACAAGGAGGGCUCUUCUUGCCUGACCCUGUCCUCGCUCUCCGGGUACAGCCCACGGCGGGAGAAGGCCCUGAAGAUACACCUCGACACCAAAUGAUUCGGUCACCUAGAUCCGAUUAGCUUGGAACCACCCUGCCGAUAAGCAGCCGUAACGUUCACUUAGCACGAAUCGCUUGUCAGUCGGCUGCGCUUUCCCCUCUGUCACCCCCGGCGCCAUUAUCCCGUUUCUCUCAUCCGAGCGUCGAAGGAGGAAGGGGAAAAAGGAAGACGCCCAAGAGGCCGGAGGCGAAGGCACACCCCGAAGAACCAACAGCGAAGGGCUACAUGACCAAAGAGGCAUUCAAGGUUUCCUGGCUGGAAGGCUCGACCGGAAUCACGCCUUGGAUACGCGGCUCUAGGAUUAAGUGCGAGGCAAUUUCGAGAUGGGCCCUUCGGUGUUCGACGUCGCGCUCCCCGAUCGGUCCCUCGGCCGAGGGUGCGGUUCGUGCAGGCGGUCCGGCGAUGCCACGGUGUAAAUUCGCGGGAAAGAAAAAGAAAAAAAAAAAUAUAUCGAAAACCUAGGAAAAUUUAUUCGAUAUCCUUGCACGGUAUCGCACCCGCGGAACGUAUCCGUUUCACGUAUCGUAACCCAUUGAAAAACCCCACCCGUCCCGAACGGCCGUUCCUCGAGUAGGGACGCGACGGGUCGAAUAUCUCGACUAGUUAGCGCACCUGUCGGUACGAAUAAAAUGCGAAUUACUGUAGCAAGUGCGAGAAUGUCUUAUAUACUCGUACCGAGGUAUCAGCCGCGCGUUACUCGUCCACUCUAGGCGUUACUCGAGUCGCUUAACUCGCCACCUCGCCGCAGACUUUGCUCUUGUAUAAGAACCUAUUCUUUAUUUCUUUCGGCGAUUCCUCGUCUCGCGUCCAGACUCGGAUUCGCGUUUUUUCAUCCGAGUUAGGGCUAUGUCAAGGCACUCGACUCGUCGCGUCGCUAUUAAGGAACGCCGCGCCGUUUCAAAUCGUGUUUUUCGCAGAGCUGGACAGAAUCUCUCUUCGGAUGUAUUAACCUGGUGUCCCGCGGUUUCGCCCAGCUCUGCCUCCAUGUCAAUCCCCCGUGUCCCUCCGGUUUUCUCGCAGGAAUUCUCCCGAGAUAAUGGCUUCUUUAACCGGCCGAGGUACCGCCGACUCGCUGUGCUCAUUACGUGCCUCGAAACCUCGGAAACGGGCGCCGUUACAUUUAGAACGGGUCUGGCCCUUGCAUUUAUAUUACAUCGGCUAUUCGACUCGGCAUUUCUUAUUGAUUCCAUUUAAUCGAGAGCGCGGAAACGGGAGGGUUUAACGGAAAUUAUCGGACCCUCGUGUUGAAUGUAGUUUUACAACGGAAGUCGCCACGCGAGAUCCUCCUGCGAGAAGCGAACCCCCUCGGAUCCUCGGUUCUUCUUUCCUUUCCGGUUUUUCUAGUGACCCCCUUAUGCGCGAUCCGCAAUAAACUUACCCUAUUAUUAUUAUUAUUAUUAUUAUUAUUAUUAUUACUACUAUUGUCAUUAUCAUUAUUAUAUAUCGUAUUUGUACAUUAUAUUUAUUGCACGUUUGUUAUACGAAGGCCGAAGCCUGGAUCGAAUGCCGGCCUUCCCUAGGUUGAUUCGAUUUCCUCGUGGGAAUGUUUUAAGGCUGCAGGUCCACAUUGUGCUCGAAUUGGCCCUUUUGGAUGCGUUUACUUAUUGCUGUUUUCUUUUACUUAAUCGCUGAAAGUUUAAGGAGGGAAAUCCAAUUGGAAGCCGAUGGUUGGUCGCGAAACGGUGGUCGCUCGCUACGAACACCGGCUUUCCGUGACUAGCGUUUACACAAUGUCGACGAGCCAAUUCUCCCUUUCUUUCUCCCCUCUUUCUCUCUUACCUUUCUAUGUUUAUCUAUCUCCCCCCCCCCCUCUGUCUCUCUCUCUCUCUCUCUGUAUCAUACACUGUAGUUAUGAAACAAAUUAUAUUUAUAAUAAUUAACAACGGAAUUAUUGGACUGAUGGAA